GACGAACGCUGGCGGCGUGCCUAAUACAUGCAAGUAGAACGCUGAAGAGAGGAGCUUGCUCUUCUUGGAUGAGUUGCGAACGGGUGAGUAACGCGUAGGUAACCUGCCUUGUAGCGGGGGAUAACUAUUGGAAACGAUAGCUAAUACCGCAUAACAAUGGAUGACACAUGUCAUUUAUUUGAAAGGGGCAAUUGCUCCACUACAAGAUGGACCUGCGUUGUAUUAGCUAGUAGGUGAGGUAAUGGCUCACCUAGGCGACGAUACAUAGCCGACCUGAGAGGGUGAUCGGCCACACUGGGACUGAGACACGGCCCAGACUCCUACGGGAGGCAGCAGUAGGGAAUCUUCGGCAAUGGGGGCAACCCUGAACGAGCAACGCCGCGUGAGUGAAGAAGGUUGUCGGAUCGUAAAGCUCUGUUGUAAGUCAAGAACGGGUGUGAGAGUGGAAAGUUCACACUGUGACGGUAGCUUAUCAGAAAGGGACGGCUAACUACGUG
rnacentral:rRNA from 1 species